rnacentral:rRNA from 1 species
GAUGAACGCUGGCGGCGUGCUUAACACAUGCAAGUCGAACGGUGAAGGCGGAGCUUGCUCUGCUGGAUCAGUGGCGAACGGGUGAGUAACACGUGAGCAAUCUGCCCCUGACUCUGGGAUAAGCGCUGGAAACGGCGUCUAAUACUGGAUACGAGCUGCGAAGGCAUCUUCAGCAGCUGGAAAGAAUUUCGGUCAGGGAUGAGCUCGCGGCCUAUCAGCUUGUUGGUGAGGUAAUGGCUCACCAAAGCGUCGACGGGUAGCCGGCCUGAGAGGGUGACCGGCCACACUGGGACUGAGACACGGCCCAGACUCCUACGGGAGGCAGCAGUGGGGAAUAUUGCACAAUGGGCGAAAGCCUGAUGCAGCAACUCCGCGUGAGGGACGACGGCCUUCGGGUUGUAAACCUCUUUUAGCAGGGAAGAAGCGAAAGUGACGGUACCUGCAGAAAAAGCGCCGGCUAACUACGUG